rnacentral:rRNA from 1 species
GACGAACGCUGGCGGCGUGCUUAACACAUGCAAGUCGAACGGAAAGGCCCUGCUUUUGUGGGGUGCUCGAGUGGCGAACGGGUGAGUAACACGUGAGUAUCCUGCCCUUGACUUUGGGAUAACUUCAGGAAACUGGGGCUCAUACCGGAUAGGAGCUCCUGCUGCAUGGUGGGGGUUGGUAAGUUUCGGCGGUUGGGGAUGGACUCGCGGCUUAUCAGCCUGUUGGUGGGGUAGUGGCUUACCAAGGCUUUGACGGGUAGCCGGCCUGAGAGGGUGACCGGCCACAUUGGGACUGAGAUAGGGCCCAGACUCCUACGGGAGGCAGCAGUGGGGAAUAUUGCACAAUGGGCGGAAGCCUGAUGCAGCAACGCCGCGUGCGGGAUGACGGCCUUCGGGUUGUAAACCGCUUUCGCCUGUGAUGAAGCGUGAGUGACGGUAAUGGGUAAAGAAGCACCGGCUAACUACGUG